ensembl:lncRNA
UUGAUAUUUUGUUCAAAUAAUUCACAAAAAUACUCUGCUCUCAUGGAUAUCAAACAAUUGCAAACACAACACAGGUUUAUAAAAAUAUAUAUCUUUGUUAAAUAUAGUUGUGCAACAAUUAUUGGCACCCCUAUGAAUUCAUUUGAGAAAAAAAAGUAUAUUCUCAUUGAUAUUUUACAUUUUUAGUACACCUGGGUGACUAUGAACAGGUAAUUGUUCAACAAAGCUGGAAAAUUGCAGAAGUUAGUUGCGUCUUGCGGUCAGAAAGUCUCCAAAACUGCAAUCCGAAGUCACCUACAUCACCACAAGUUGUUUGGAAGGGUUUCAAGAAAAAAGCCUCUACUCUCCUCCAAAAACAAACUUGAGCGUUUUCAGUUUGCCAGACACUACUGGAACUUAAAAUGGAAUUGGGUUCUAUGGUCAGAUGAAACCAAAAUAGAGCUUUUUGGUAAUAAACACCAGAGGUGGUUUUGGUGCGCACAGAGAGGUAGCCAUAUGGAAAAGUACCUCAUGCCCACGGUUAAAUAUGGUGGUGACUCUUUUAUGUUUUUGGGGCUGUUUUUCUGCCAGAGGACCUGGACAUUUUGUUAGGAUACAUGGCAUCAUGGACUCUACCAAAUAUCAACAGAUAUUAAAUGAAAACCUUACUCGCUCUGCCAGAAAGCUAAAAUGGUCCGUGGUUGGCUCUUCCAGCAGGACAAUGAUAUAAAACAUACAUCAGAAUCAAGACAAAAAUGGUUUACUCACCACAAAAUCAAGGUCCUGCCAUGACCAUCCCAGUCCCCUGACCUGAACCCCAUAGAAAAUCUGUGGGUGAACUGAAGAGGAGAGUCCACCAGCGUGGACCUCGAAAUUUGAAGGAUCUGGAGAGAUUCUGUGUGGAGGAAUGGUCUCAGAUCCCUUGUCGUGUAUUCUCCAACCUCAUCAGGCAUUAUAGGAGAAGACUCAGAGCGGUUAUCUUGGCAAAGAGGUAGCACAGAGUAUUGACUAAAAGGGUGCCAAUAACUGUUGCACACCUACAUUUAACAAAAAUUUUUUUGUUUUUUUAACAAAAAUUUUUUUAAAACAUUUUUUUAUAAACCUGUGCUGUGUUCGCAAUUGUUUGAUAUCCAUGAGAGCAGUGUAUUUUUGUGAAUUUUUUUAACAAAAGAUCAAAACGUUAAACAAUAAAGACAAUUUUUCACAGCAUUCUUUGCUCAAAUUUACCAAGGAUGCCAAUAUUAAUGGAGGGCACUCUAUCCUAUCUAUAUAUCACCUCUCCCCCACCAUAUUUCAAAAACAAAAUAUACAGUUUAAUAUUUAGGCAUCCAGCUCAGAUUAUAUGCUGUUAAUAAAAGUCUGGAAAAAAGGAUUAUUUGAGAUUUCUUCUCAACUAAGCGCAACAUCACCACCACUGGUCAUUAGAAAUAUACAGAGAACAGUAUGAAGACUUGAGUCUGGGACUGAUUUCUUUCUAUCCCAGACUAUAGUUUCUUGCACCUUCUCAGUGAUUGUCGUUUCAGUUGAUUACACUUAGUGAAACAGAUUUGAUCUCCAUCUUCAGCCUGCUUCGAUGAAACAUCCGUAACACAGUAUCAGAAGUGGUUGUUAAGACGCAGGUGAAAUACAGUCUCGGCUGUAAAGAACAUGAACAUAGUGCAUCCCUUUUCCCCCAAAAAAUGCCUUUGUAGGAAAAAAAAAAAGUAAAUUAAGCUCACAUUGUUGAAUCAAAGUACAAAUUACACAAAACGACAGACAACAGAACUGUAAGUUUAGUGCAUCUUGGAGGUUUCUGUUUGUUUUUAAUAGAAGGCGUUGCAGCUUUUCCAUUUCGCAUUUUCGGUAUUCAGAGGAAAUACAGAUUUACAGACUAUUUACAAAUACUUAAAUUAUAAAUCAUGAAUACAGCUACCAAUUUGUCUUUGAGUGUGUGUAAUAGUUCCUUAUUAUAGCAUCAGUGAGACCCUGAGAGAUAACAUUACUCAGGCUUCAUUGUCGAUGUAUUAAUACCUAUAAUGCAGAAAAGAUGGGGUCGGCUUUCAUUACAUUACUUUACAUUACAUUCAGCAACUUUAACACUACCUUUAAAAACUACCAGUAUGGCAAAACACCUAAAUAUCUACAGUAUAUCUGCAGUUUAUUAUGAUUAUUAUAUAGUUUAACAAACUAUUGUGUUGUUUUGCGAUAAAUAAAAGAUGCAUCUUGCGUAUUUAAUAAUUGUUAAGUGAUAUAACCACUUGAAGGAGGGAUUUUUUAAAAAAGUCAACAAAAAAACUCAGUUUAGAAGAGAAAGCUUUAGCAGCUCCGCUAGCUACAAUCUAAUUAGAUAUGAAACCAUUCAGAUUUCUAACACAGCAAACCUAGCCUCUAGUGUAUGUGCAGUUUAAUAAUGUGUGAUAUAAUACUAACAAUUAAUUCGAUCAUUUAUUUUCGGUAGCCACUAUCCUGGAACCGGAGCCCGGCGUGAGGUGGGGAUACACAUGAGAUGGUACAUCUGUGCAUCACAGCGCACCAACCAUACACACUGUCACGCACACCUAGGCACAAUUUUGUGUAAUCCAUCCACGGAUGGGUAUGUUUUUGGAUUUUUGGACAGUCAGAGGAAACCAGAGAACAUGCAAAGCUCCACAAAGACAGUAACCCGAGCUCAGGAUCGAACCGGGAAAGUUCUGAUAUAGCAAAUGGUCCAGAAGCAGAAGAACAAUCAGUUCAGGUGGUACAGUCCCCUCUGUACCUACUGGAACGGCAAGGCAAAUUAAUUUGUUUGUGCUGUACACCAAAAACAUUUGGGUUUUAGAUCAAAAGAUGGAUAUGAGAUGAGGGAUUAGGAUUUCAGCUUUUAUUUCCUGGUAUUUACAUCUAGACGUGUUUAAACAACAUAACCUUUUGCAUCAGACCACCCAAUUUUUAGGCAAGCAAAAGUAUAGGAAAAGAUAAGUCAUGAAGUUGGUUUCUUCUUUUGUGAUGAUUUUUCAGGCUUUUACCGCAGCUUCUUUCAGUUGUUUGUUGUCGUGAGGUUUCUCUCUUCAGGAGGUUCUAAAUCCUUCCACUUUCCCCCCACUGAUGAAGUCCUUUGUUGAGUUGGCAGUGUGUUUUGGAUCAUUGUCUUGCUGCAUGAUAAAAUUCCUCCUUAUUAAUCUUCAUUCAUUUCUCUGUAAAUUGGCAGACAAAUGUUCCUGUAAACUUCUGAAUUCAUUCUUCUGCUACCAUCACAAGUGACAUCAUCAAUAAAAAUUAGUGAGACUGUUCCAGAAGCAGACAUGCAAACCCAAUCCAUAACAGUUCCUCCACCAUGUUUCACAGAUGAGCUCGUAUGUUUUGAAUUAUGAGCAGAUCCUUUCUUUCUCCACACUUUGAACUUUCAAUCACUUUGGAAGAGCUUAAUCUUGGUUCCAGAACUUUUGUGGCUCAUGUCUGUAUUUCUUUGUGAAUUCCAACCUGGCUUUCUGAUUCUUACUGCUGAUGAGUGGUUUACAUCUUGUGGUAUGGCCUCUAUAUUUCUGCACUUGAAGUUUUCUUCAAAUGGUGGAUUGAAAUACCUUUACCCCAGCCCUGUGGAGGUUGUUGGUGAGGUCACUAACUGUUGUUUUUGGGUUUUUCUUCACAGUUCUUACAAUGUUUGUCAUCAGCUGUUGUUCUUUUCCUUGUCCGACCCAUUCAGUGGUGUCUGUUGCUCAGUACAACAGUGGUUUCUUUCUUUUUCAGGACAUUCCAAGUUGUUCUAUUGGCUAUGCCCAGUGUUUGUGCAGUGACUCUGAUGGAUUUUUCUCCCAUAGACAGCUCUGUGAUCUUCAUGUUAGUUUAUCCUUUUUAACAACAAAUGCAGUCUUCACAGGAGAAACUGAAAGCUAAAACCAAGAGUAGAUGCUCAGAGCUAUUUAUUGUUUAAGCAAGCAAUCAAUCAAUCUAACAGGACACACCUGGGUAACAAGGAAACACCUGUCAGUCACAUGUUCCAGUAUUUUUUGCUCACCUACAAAAUUUUGUAAUCUGAUAUAAAGUGUGCUGUGUUCUAUAUUGUUGAAGACAUUUACAUAUAAAUAUCAGGAAAUAAAAGCUAAAAUUCAAAACUCUCUUCUCAUAUUCAUCUUUUGACCUCAAACCCAAAUGUCUUAAGUCUACAGCAAAAACAAAUGAAUUUUCCUUUUCUUUCCAAUAGUGUCGAAGGGGACUGUAUAUAGCUUUUUGCUAAAGCUUGACAUUUAUAUUAGAGCCGAGUGACAAAAUGGUAUGGUUCGGUAAAGAAAAAAGCGGUGAGAGGCAAUAACCACAGAGUUCCUACAAUUUUCAUUACAAAGUCACUGAUGUAAUUUAUUUUUUUAAGCCUUUAGAUUGUAUUGACAGCGGGAAUAUUUCAUUUGUUGGGAAUUCCAACAAUCUGAUCUGGUAAAAUCACAUUAAAUCACAAGAAACUAAACAACGGUCAUCAAAAAACAAAAAGAAAACUACUGUACAGCGUUCUCCACAUUUAUCUCUCACACCACUGCGUUUAUACUUGUGUACACGUCAAUAUUAUCAAAAAACACAUUUCAUUUCACUUUCCUUCCUAGAAACUAUGUAAAUAACAUUUAGUGACUUUUUUUUGUUUGUUUUAAAAUACAAAUCAAAAACCAUCAGCGUACACGAUGUAAAAGGCCGAAGCCUGGUUAAGACCAUACAAAAUUUAAAAUGCUAAAACAAUAUAAAAGAAACUACUUCAAGCUUUUCAAUGUGUUAUGGAGUGAAAGGGAUUCACGUUUCGGGGUUUAGGAGUUCAGAAAAUGCGACGUUAUUCCUAUACAUAAAUAAAGGAAUGAGCACAGAACUACUGAUCCACAGAACGGUGAAACAAGCGAGUCCUCUUCUCGUUUCUUCUGUUAAAUCUGGGAAGAGAAAACACAUUGUUAUACAGAGAAAGUGUGAGUGCUGGAGUGUGAGACCUGCGACACUCACUCGUGUGCGAGACGUGUUGUGUUGUGUGUGACUACUGCCAGGCUCUCAGUGUGGACGCUCGUCCUCCUCGCUCAGCUCUCUGUCUGCAUGAAGGGAAACAGAGCGUGAAAUUGUCCCUAAUUGAGACGAAGCAGCUUUACAGUAAUGUACAUUUAGAUCCUUAAUGAGCAUAACAACGGCGUUAGUUGAAAGUGGAAAACUGUGGAAACGAAAAAAAGGAAAAGUUGCGAGCACAGGAAACAAAAAUAACUUUUAAAAUGCUCACUCAUGUCUUUCACCCCUGCUGAAAAAACCCAAUAGAAACAGUCAUAUAAUAUGUAAUUGUUCUAAUGAGAAUUGCACUGAUUUUAAUGGAAGCUGUAAUGGGUCUCUACUGGUAAUCUGUUGCCUUCUAUUGGUGGCAUAUUAUGUCUAGUGGAUACCAUUAAGGAUCAAAAAGCUUCUUUAGGUUAAUAGCUGACGGUUUGUAAUGGUAUUUGUAUUGGAAACCAUUAGAAUGUCUGGGGACAUCUUUGCACAACGUAACUUCUUUGGUUAAAUUAUCAACACGGUGGGGUUUUUUUUUUUUUUUUUUUUUUUUAUACAGCACAUAUUUCACACACAAAGGCAAUUAAAAGUGCUUUACAUAAGUACAUUUAAAAAUGAAGACACUCGUAAGGAAAACUGCAUCGUUUAUACGCGAGAUAUAUGGAGUACUGUUUCAGACGUGUCACAUCCGUAUCGCAAACAAUUCACAUAUGGAUAUGGCAUAUGUUUUUUUUCCCUCUUAAUGAUGUCAUAAGAGCGUGGGCGGAGUCAAGUAUCAGAGGAGGCGGGUUGAAACAUCAGCAGGUAACACGUGAUUAUUCUCACCUGUGUGGUGUCACGGAGCGGUUACUUACAUGUGCUUCGUUUGUCCUUAAAGACCUGACGUGAGCCAGAGAGAGGCGGUACUGUCAGCAUCGGCACAACCAGUUACGAAAUGAAAACUAAACGGAAAGCGAAGAGGUGCCAAUAUCCGCCCGUCUCCUUCCUACAUUUCUACAGAUGUAUUCCUAAAACAAGAAUCUCUAUAUAUUUUUUGUUCUAGUUCACGUCUUGUUCUAAAUACGAUGUGCUCUGCGAUGGUCUUUAAAAAUUUGUUGAAAAUGUUUAGUCUCCUACAAAAGUUUGUCCAUUUAAAGUUUGUUAAAAAAUAAAAAAAAGAUUUCUCUGCCUUAUCCUCAACACAUGCACACAGACCCAUUGAUCCUAAACUUGUCACUUAUGCGAGACAUUUUGUUAGCCAACGUGAGUGUAAACGUCACAUACGUAACGCUGGAGUCAUCCUAAUUAGACGUCAGAACAGCACUCGGACCGAGACUCACCUUGUUUGACUGUGUCCUCUUCUCCGUUAGCUCUCUUUCUAAACUUAUCCUUCACCUUCGCUGCUUUCACUUUCCUCACCAAGGGCUCGUCGUCUGAACUGGCAUCUGCAUAGAGCAGGCAUGUGAGGAAAAAAAAUUUAAACAAUUACACCAUCUUUUAUUGCACGUUCUGCUUUAUUUCUUUAAAAAAAAAAAAAAAUUAAAACGUCAGAGGAACAGUUCUAUUAAGGGGACACAAGCUCAUUUCAAAUCCGUCCAAAGAAUCUUAGAAGACAAAUAAAUUUUGUUUGUGUUUUAACGCCAUGCCAGCUUCUAUAUCUUGGUGAGUCUUCUCCUAUUAUUAAAAACGUGUGCGUCAUCCUGGAGUGACCUGUUCGACAGCGGGUGUAGACGAUCUGGUAAGUAGAGAAACGUUUUCUUUUGCCAACAAUAGGGCUGAUUUCAUAGUUUGUUCAUAGUGCAUUGGUCCCACUCAGUUUGAGACAAAUAAAUAAACAAAAUGCAAUACAGAACCAACACCGUAGUCUUGAUCUGAAUAAACAAACAGCUAGUGAUGACCAUCGAAUUAACCACUUCACUGGUCCAGUAUUUUUACUUUCUGUUAAUUGUUUAUAAUAAAUAAACAAACAAACAAACAAACAAAUAAAUAAAGUCUUCUUUUCUGUUCGUUAAUUAAUUUCCCUUAUAUAUCACAGCACUGUUGAAUUCUCGAAUCGGACUGCUCACAUGUUCGCAUUUGUUCCAAUAUGCUAUUGUUUCUAUAGUAACAGCUCGUUCACACGGACUUGCAUGGCAAAUGCGCCACGUGAUCCGACCUUAAUAAUUAACAGUGUGUAGUUUAAUUUAGGUAAAGCUUUCUUUAAAUACAUGUUUAUGGAACAUUUAUGGAAGGAGUCUCCAGUGCCAGCGAUUCUGAGAAGGGAAAAAUAAAAAUUAAGCGAGGCUGGUGAGGGAAUGAGUGGUUAUAGCUGCUACAGUGAUAACAGGACCUUGUGGACAUUUGACAACAUUCAAUGUAACUAUAAACGGAUAAAAAGUAAAAGCCAUGGUGCUCUUUAAUAAACAGAUAAAUUGUUAGCAUUGCUGUGGUAUAUUUAUUUAUUAUUUACACACAUAUGCUUAUAUAUGUACACACAUUACAUACACAUUUUUAUAUA